rnacentral:rRNA from 1 species
ACAUAUAGCUACUUUCGGGGUUGGGCCUGGUUAGUACUUGGAUGGGAGACCACCUAGGAAGACCAGGUGCUGUAGGCA